rnacentral:lncRNA from 1 species
UAUCUGAGAGAUGAGUGGCCACUACAGUAAUUGACUGAACAGUAUUUCAGCAGAAAUUCUGAUGAGAUUUUCUUCCUUGUUUUCCUCUUUCUCUGAUAGGUGCCCCAGGUGACCCUGGCAGCCCAGGAAUACCUGGUCCUCCAGGAGAUGAAGGGGUCAUUGGUUUACCAGGCCUUCCAGGGGCUCCAGGGUUUCCAGGCCUGGAGAGAGAUGGAAUGGGCCCUGGAGGGUCUCCAGGUAUUCCAGGAGUGAAGGGUGAAGUGGGAGAACCAGGAAGAGCAACAAUUGGAAUACCAGGCCCUCCUGGCAGAGGUGGUUUACCAGGUCUGCCAGGGGCACCAGGAUUGCCUGGUUCACCACGCCCUUCAUUCUCCCCAGUGAUAAUCCUGAGUGGAAGGACUGGAGCCCCAGGGCAGCCUGGGCAAAGAGGGCUGCCAGGAGCUUUGGGUCCAAAAGGCUACAAAGGAGAGGCAGGUGGUUGUGCUUGUGAUGGAGGAGUUACAAGAGCUGGCCUAAAAGGCAUCUCAGGCCCUCCAGGUCUGUCAGGAAGCCCUGGUGUACCUGGUGCCAAGGGUGUUGGUGGAGACC